AUUUUUGUACAUAAAUGAUUUAUAUUUAUAUAAUAUACACAUCCAUGAAAAAUUUCUUGGUAGGUAUUUGCUUCCAUGAUUAUAUUAGAGAUAAGUUAAGACACGUGCAGUCAACAGUACAAACGGUGGCUUACAUUUUCACGUUAUAUAGUUUGCUCUCAUAGUGUGCACUCUACUACAUGCACAAAACGUCAUUGGUUUAAUGGGUCCCACCAGGCUGUUUCUUCACUUUCCCAUUCUGUACUCUUCUUGACUUCUCAAUUCUUCUUUCGCACUCACACAGCGAGAUGUUCCUCUAGCCCGAUCCCCUUUCUCCUUUCCCCAAUCUCUCUGGUCACUCCAAAAUUGCUGCUGCCGAAUAGCUCCCAUCAACUCUGUUGUUCAUGCUCACCUGCAGCCACCCCCGCAAAUGGUGCUUCCAUAGUGUAUCCGUCGACGGCGGCUGGUAUGGUCCCUCAUAUGCCUCGGUCUCCUUGGAUUUUGAAUGGCGAUGGAUAGUAGGGCCGAAAGAUUAGCCGCAGCAAGGAGGAGGCGUGAUCAUUCAUCUGCAAAGUGCCGUUAUUGUAGGCGUCCGUACAGUUGAUUUGGGCGUGGAUUUCGUCUCCUGUAGCCUCGCUUGGAUCCAGCUUGAGUAUUAGGAUGCCGGCGACAUUGUCUUCCCCAAGUGCGCAAGGCAGACACAUUGUUUGUAUUCCCGCUCGAGGUAGUCGGGCACGUCGUCGUCAUCCCCCACGGCGUCAACAAUCUCCAAAGUUGAAAGUCUGCCCUGCAGGUCCCCCUUCUUCCUUUUCUUGACUGAUAUUUUCCCUUUUUCUUAACAUUUUCAUGUGUUUGUGCGGUUCAACUAAUAUAACGUAAUUAAGGAAAGACCUAUUAGUGGUAAAUGUUUCAUUAUUUUUCUUUCAAAUUUUGGAAAAACAUGUGAUUCUUUUGAAGUGCUCAAUAAUUGUUGAAUGACGUAGAUACUACAGUAAUAAGUUAGUGAAAUUGUAAAAAUGUAAGUAUAUGUGUGAGCAGACAUACCAAUGCAAAGUUGCAAACCCAAAACGUUGGAUCAUAUAAUCUAACUUUGCUCACAUAAAGAAGUAUGGAAAUCCACUAAAUGUCAAUAUAAAUUACUAAUAAUAUUUAGAUUUAAUUCAUCGCAAUUACUUUAGUGAAUUUUUUUGAAAUUUUAGUUUUUUUCUAACUUUAAGCAUGUCAUUCGAGUACUUUUUUUUGUCUAUUUUUACCUUGUUGACUUAUAGCAUCCUUAGAAAUGCCGCGAACUAAAACAUGUACGUCAUGUUCAUCUGCUAUGGUUGCUCAAUGUAUCACUUAUGCCAUCAGGCAGUGUGUUGAUGAGAUAAGGUACCAUUAAUCUACAAAGGAACGAAACAAAGUACAUUGUAUAUGCUAGUACAAAUAUGGGACAAAUAAUAAAUAAUUAGUAGGUUACCACUGAAAUUGCGAGGCUUACAUAGAUACGCACUUGUAUUAAGACCAUAAGCAGUUCUUGAAAAUGAAUUAUACAGUAGGGCCAUGUUGUUCCCCGGGUUAAAAAAAUAUCUUGAAAAGGAGGCAAUAAGAGAAAUAAAUCAUUAUUGAAAAGGAGGCAAUAAGAUAAAUAAAUCAUUUAUAGAAUAGUACACAUCAACAACCACAUACGUAGUCAAGAAGAAGCAUGUAUACUGAUGGUCUUACAUAUAUUCCAUUCUCUACUUACUCUGAUAACCUACUAACUUACGCAUACAUGCAAAAUGCAUUUGCAAGCUGGGCGUGCACAACACGCUUAUCUAUAGUCUAUUUUCUCUUGUUAUCUGAUAUACCGUCGAGUACCUCGUAUGUAGUAUCCAUCACUACAUGCAAGAAAAUAGAGAUAUAUACCUACAGUGUUAUGGUCGAGUACCUACCUUGGUAAUUAGGCAUAUACUUUUCAGCAAACUUGUCGUUGAAGUUCUCCAUGCCUGAAGAUAACACUGUCGUCAAACAUAACACUGUUGCCUGAAAAGUUGAAGACACACAAUCAUCUGUUAUAGAAAACACAAAAUUGACUUUACAGACUGAAGAUAAGACACUGAAGUUUCAGGAUUUCAAGCAUCUUGUCACAUCAUAUUAAAAACUGAUGAGAUUACCUGAUCAAUCUUUGUUCUAAGCGAAUAUUCUAUUGCCUAAAUUGUACGAAAUGACAUAUAUUAUGUCCCAAGGGGCUAAAGCUUUAUGCAUUGACAGAUUGGAAUUAAUCAAUGACGUCUAGAAAUAGCAGAAGCGUGGAAGAUUUAAAACAUUUUCUAACCACACCCUGAUCUGCUAAUGGAUGACAACAAACAUUAAGCAUCUCAGUCUUACAAUAGUUUUCUUACUUCCAUUCAAGAAUGCUGACCUUCCUAUCUAGACCAUAGUGGCCCGUUCGCUACUUCUUUUUGCUCCACAUACUGAUGGGUUGUGUUGCAAACAAAUUUACAGGAACCCGGUAAGUAACUAAUGAUGCCACUAUAAAAACACAAUCCAUAACUUGAUGUCUCCAAGUAUAGUAAGCUAUUCCUAUAUUUCGCGCAUCAAUCUGACUACCUUCAUAAUGCACUAUUUUGUUUUAGAGAAGGUGUGACCGAGGGCUAUGAGUUGUACCAUUGUAG
rnacentral:lncRNA from 1 species